rnacentral:SRP_RNA from 1 species
CCGUGCUAGGUGGGGAGGUAGCGGUGCCCUGCACUUGCAAUCCGCUAUAGCAAGGCUGAAUUCCCGCCCUAGGUGGGAUGGUUUUAAGGUCUGCCUUAAGUAAUUGGUGUUGACACCUUGGUCCUGCACAAUGGAGACCCGUGAACCCUGUCAGGUCCGGAAGGAAGCAGCAGUAAGCGGUAUUCUUCAUGUGUUGCGGGGUAGCCUGGGUCGAGCCAUGACCUUAAGUAACGCUUAAGACCAUCUCAUCGAAGGUGGGUGCACGG